CGCUGGUACUUCAAGCUCUUCGACGUGGACCGCGAGGAGCUGCUGCUCAUCUUCAAGGUCUCUGAUGGUCCUGUGAUGUUGUGUUUGUCUUCAGCUCCACCUGCUGGAGUCACAGCCUGCGUGUGAACUGAAAUCAUCUGUGUGAGAGGAUCUCCACGUCACAGGAACACUUUCACAUGAUAAACUUUCAUCUGCUGUUGCUUUUCUGCUGCAGGCCAUUCGUGCCAUCAGUAGAGUAGAGCAGGAGAUCUCAAGAUCGACCUCAGUGGAGACGGUGAGGAGUUUAUGGAGGGCGUUCAAGCCGACGACGUUCUGUUGAAGAUGUGGAUGCAGACUUUGGUUCUGAUCCUCAACGAAGAUGAGACUGAAGAUGAAGAUAAUGGCUGUUGUGCUGGUUCUGCAGCAGGUCACUUUGCAGCUCGUUUCUUGUGGUGAAUUUCUCGUUUAAAAAACUGAACUUCACCAUCAAGCGAAGAGGUUCAAUUUUGCAUUUUCAGUUCUUUUACGUAAUCUCUCAGAAUAACAUUAGCAACUGAAGCUAGAGCAAACCCCGUUUAAGUGCACUUGAACACACCAAAACCUUGAAGCAUUCCUGUAAAAUACAUCAUUCUUCAGUCCUGCCAUGCAUGUAUGUGUGUAUAUAAGGAUAAUGAUGUUAUGUUAAAAAAUGUUAUAUUCUGUAGAGAACAUUUAUAAUGCUAUUGUCAUUUUACACUUGGAUUCUCUUUUGAAAAUAAAACACGAAACCUU